GGAAACGACUGCUAAGACUGGAUAGGAGACAAGAAGGCAUCUUCUUGUUUUUAAAAGACCUAGCAAUAGGUAUGCUUAGGUAGGAGCUUGCGUCACAUUAGUUAGUUGGUGGGGUAAAGGCCUACCAAGACUAUGAUGUGUAGCCGGGCUGAGAGGUUGAACGGCCACAUUGGGACUGAGACACGGCCCAAACUCCUACGGGAGGCAGCAGUAGGGAAUUUUCGGCAAUGGAGGAAACUCUGACCGAGCAACGCCGCGUGAACGAUGAAGUAUUUCGGUACGUAAAGUUCUUUUAUUAGGGAAGAAUAAAUGAUGGAAAAAUCAUUCUGACGGUACCUAAUGAAUAAGCCCCGGCUAACUAUGUGCCAGCAGCCGCGGUAAUACAUAGGGGGCAAGCGUUAUCCGGAAUUAUUGGGCGUAAAGGGUGCGUAGGCGGUUAAAUAAGUUUGUGGUCUAAGUGCAAUGCUCAACAUUGUGAUGCUAUAAAAACUGUUUAGCUAGAGUAAGAUAGAGGCAAGUGGAAUUCCAUGUGUAGUGGUAAAAUGCGUAAAUAUAUGGAGGAACACCAGUAGCGAAGGCGGCUUGCUGGGUCUUUACUGACGCUGAGGCACGAAAGCGUGGGGAGCAAACAGGAUUAGAUACCCUGGUAGUCCACGCCGUAAACGAUGAGUACUAAACGUUGGGUAAAACCAGUGUUGAAGUUAACACAUUAAGUACUCCGCCUGAGUAGUACGUACGCAAGUAUGAAACUUAAAGGAAUUGACGGGACUCCGCACAAGCGGUGGAUCAUGUUGUUUAAUUCGAAGGUACCCGAAAAACCUCACCAGGUCUUGACAUGCUUCUGCAAAGCUGUAGAAACACAGUGGAGGUUAUCAGUUGCACAGGUGGUGCAUGGUUGUCGUCAGCUCGUGUCGUGAGAUGUUGGGUUAAGUCCCGCAACGAGCGCAACCCUUAUUGUUAGUUACCAGCACGUAAUGGUGGGGACUUUAGCAAGACUGCCAGUGAUAAAUUGGAGGAAGGUGGGGACGACGUCAAAUCAUCAUGCCCCUUAUGACCUGGGCUACAAACGUGAUACAAUGGCUGUUACAAAGGGUAGCUGAAGCGCAAGUUUUUGGCGAAUCUCAAAAAAACAGUCUCAGUUCGGAUUGAAGUCUGCAACUCGACUUCAUGAAGUUGGAAUCGCUAGUAAUCGCGAAUCAGCAUGUCGCGGUGAAUACGUUCUCGGGGUUUGUACACACCGCCCGUCA
rnacentral:rRNA from 1 species